GCAGGAAGGGUGGGGGGUGAGCAAGGGAAGAGGGGGAGAUGGUCGCCCAGAGUUGAGGGGGUGGGGAGGGAGGCGCGCAGGAGCCCAGCAGAGGUUCCCACUAAAUGAGCUUGGGAGGGGAAAUGUAAGAUGAGGCGAUGGGUCUCUCCCCCGCCCUCCUUCUACCCUACCCUCCUUCCCCCUUCGCGCCCUUUCCUUGGGCUCUUCCUCUCGUGGCUCAGGCUGGGGGUUACCCAAGCUUGGCAGCAGCCGCGGCUUCAGCGCGCUGGUGCGAGUGCUGAGUCCGGGAGGCAGCCUCUACAGCUCUCCCCGCCACCGGCCUGUGGCACCUGUGCGCGCACACUGCCGCCCGCUCCAUUGCGGCGGCUCCUGGACCAGGAUCCGCAGCCUGUCGCCCUCCUUCUCUCCUCUUUCUGGGCAGAUUAUGAUCCUACAUGUGCAUCCAUGACAUCUGUAUAGUCCCCCAUUGGUGUUUGUUUCCCUGGGCGCUCUUUGGCACUGGCUGUCCCGCCAGAAGGCGCCAGCAGGGAGCUCAAUGCCGGCAACCAUCGCCUGCCCCUUGGAGCUGUUGCCUGGGCAGGGGUGGCCUUGGUUGUUUACCGCCGGGGUUGACCAGCUAACGAGCUCCCAGGCAGCUGUGAUGGUGGGGAGGCAGCUGCACAGUGAUGGCAGUGGCUGCCAGGCAGUCCCCCACAACCCUGAGAAAGGAAAAUUCUGCUCUCUGUGUUUUAAAUUCAUGUCACAAGGGAGCACCUAAUAAGGACCUGACUCACAGUGGACAUUAAAACAGUGAUUAUGUGAACUAAUUGGUGGAUAAAUCGUUGGCUCUCUGCUUCAAGCACAGCAAAACAAGUCAGCUUCUUGGAUAUCUUUUAUGGGAGAUAAUAUGGCUAUCCAAAUGUUCACCAAUCCCUCACUUAUGCCUUGUGCCCACUCAUGGGAGACAUAUAAUCUCAUGCCCCAGUGAUGUUGGGCUUUGACAUGUGACUUGCUUUGGCCAAGAGAAUGUAAUCAGAGAUAACAUAUGCCACAUUUUAUUAGAAGCUGUGAGAGAUAUUUUACAUUUCUAUCAGUCACCUUUAAUUUCUGCCCUCUGGAAUUUUAAAAGUAUGUUGUAGUUGUGGCUAAUAUUUCCACUUGGAUACUGCAAUAAGAAAACACAAAGAGACAGGCCAAGCACAAUAAGACCAACCAACCAAAUCCAGAAAUGCUCAGCCAAACUGAAGCUGACCCUCGGCAUUCAUGUGAUGGGUGAGAACUACAAGGUGUAAGCCUUUGAGAUUUUGUGGUUCUCUGGCUGAAAGAAAAGUUGAUUGAUAUCCUUCUAUAAAACAAAAGAUUCAGAAGGAUCUAAUGGAUUAGGUUUUAGUAUAUUAUUGCAAAUCAUAAUGAAUUCUUAGAUACAUAUUUUUUAACCAUAAUAGGAAGAAUAGCUAUUUAUACAACUCAUAUUUACAAGAUGAUUUCAUAUUUUUAGUUCAUUUUCUGCUGUGUAGAAAUGUAAUGGUUAUAAUAUGGUGCCCUUUCAUGCUCAUCAAGCACUCUUUUAUCUCACUAAUGAAGGGCAAAAGUGAUGGACAUAUGUUGUUACUAGAAUAAAAGGCCACCUUACACUCAAGAAAAUUAAUGUAUUACUGUGAUAACUUUGUUCUCUAUUAAAAAUGAAUCAUUCUUGAAUCAGAAUUUCUUUACUUUGGAAGUUAGUAUUUCACCCUUAUAUCAAUUUAACUUUGUAGAAAUAUGACUAGAAAUUAAAUGGCAUAAAAACUGAGAAA
rnacentral:lncRNA from 1 species